UUGAAACAUUCCCGGAACACAAUUGCAGCAAUGCAUCUUCUUCUUCGUGAAGCAGAACCCAACCAAAAUGUAGCCCAUCGUGAUCCAGAAGAUCGUGUUUUCCUUCGUCCUUCACUCAAAAAUCGGGCGGACGCCAUUCUCUAUCCGUUGAGAAGAGUACGAUUUACAUCUCCUCAACCUUAUCUCAUAGAGGGAAUUCGAAUUUUGAAUUUCGAAUUCACCCCUUUGCUUUACUCGAUUCCCCCACCCCCAUUCGGCCUCAUCUUCUCAUCUAUAUAAACCCCCUCAUCCUCAUUGUUAAGGGUUGAGAAUUUUUUUUUUGGCAAGAAACAAAGUGGAAGUAUAGGAACAUUUGGUAGAAAAAAUGGAAAAACAAAAGAUAAGUUUGGGGAAAAAAUAAAAGAAAGCUAGCUUACAUUGGAAACAAAAAAUAUACCGUAAGAUAACAAGGUGCGUAAAGUCAUAUACAAAAUAUAUAGGGAUAGACUCUGAACGAUCGGAGUUUGGAGUUUAGUUUUGAGUUUGAUUUCUCUUUCAGUGCUUAGAGUUCGUCGGAUUCUCAGUUGCGGUGGUGGUGGUGGUAUAGCUCCCUUCAACUCGUUCUCAUCUCAUUUUGCUUCCCGGAAAAGUUUCCUUGAGUCCACGAGACUCUUCCCUUGCAGUUGGAGUUGGAUUGAAACCCAAAACCGCCAUCGAGUCAAUCUUGAUCAAAUACAUGGCAGAUGGAAGCUGAAAUAUAGGAAAUGGAGUUGAUAUACAAGUUUAUAUACACUGAUAUACACUUUUUGAAUACCCUGUGAAGUAGCCGAUAUACACCCCUAUACAUUUACUGUAUACAAAUGAAGCAGAAUCAAAAAUGGGCUGAAAAGGGACCCGAAUGGUGCAGCCCUCUUAUUUUAGUACUGGAUCAAAUCAGCUGAGUUGAUCUACCAUGGAAGAAAAGGAAAAUCUUCCUCCCCAAGUAAAUCAGUUUGCUGAUGAAUCCCUUGAUUUUUUGUAAAAACAAGUAGGACCCCUUUUCUCUUUCUUUUUAGGGGUCUACCAAGGAGUUCCAUUAGUGACUCGUAGAUUGGCUAAGGCCAUUGUCACCUUGAUACUAUUUAAAUAGCUCAUUUCCAAUUCAGGUAUGUUUCAAAAUGAAGGUUUAGUUUAAUCCUUUUGUUAGCUAGGGCUUCAUAUUGUAAUAGGGCUGAUUGAUCGGAUCUUCAACAUGAUCUAUUGGUUUUACUAGUUAGACACAUAGAUCUGAUUGAAGAUUAUCUCAAUUUCAGUCCUGUUUGCAAAUUGUGGCCCUUUGUCAUCACUAGGGAAAUCUUAGACAAUAACUUCCCUAGGGAUACAUGGCUACCAUGAGGAUGACUGGAUUCCACAAGCGAGUGGAAGAAGAUGAGGAUGAAGAGAAGAUGUGCAUAUAUUGCACAAAACUUUUCUAGUUUUCCUGAUCGUUUUAGCUAGUUGCAAAUACACCAAUCAGAGAUUUAGUAGACCAAGCUUUUCUUUUGAGGUUCUAAUGCUUCUUUUUCGGGAUCCAAGGACUUGGUGCAAUUGGCUGAAGAUACGACAAAUAAUAAGGCUGAAUGGUCGGUCUUGUUCUGCCUCUUCUAUAUCAAUAUUUCACUAUAAUGACCAAAUGUUCUGCAGAGCAAAUUGUUUCUACUAUAUUAUUUGAUAUGGUUUUUUUUGUAAAAAUAUUUCAUUAUAUUAGUCAAACGUUCUUUUG